UACGGGGGGGGCAAGCGUUGUUCGGAAUUACUGGGCGUAAAGGGCUCGUAGGCGGCCAACUAAGUCAGACGUGAAAUCCCUCGGCUUAACCGGGGAACUGCAUCUGAUACUGGAUGGCUUGAGUUCGGGAGAGGGAUGCGGAAUUCCAGGUGUAGCGGUGAAAUGCGUAGAUAUCUGGAGGAACACCGGUGGCGAAGGCGGCAUCCUGGGCCGGCACUGACGCUGAGGAGCGAAAGCCAGGGGAGCAAACGGG
rnacentral:rRNA from 1 species